rnacentral:rRNA from 1 species
CCUACGGGAGGCAGCAGUAGGGAAUCUUCCGCAAUGGACGAAAGUCUGACGGAGCAACGCCGCGUGAGUGAUGAAGGCUUUCGGGUCGUAAAACUCUGUUGUUAGGGAAGAACAAGUGCUAGUUGAAUAAGCUGGCACCUUGACGGUACCUAACCAGAAAGCCACGGCUAACUACGUGCCAGCAGCCGCGGUAAUACGUAGGUGGCAAGCGUUAUCCGGAAUUAUUGGGCGUAAAGCGCGCGCAGGUGGUUUCUUAAGUCUGAUGUGAAAGCCCACGGCUCAACCGUGGAGGGUCAUUGGAAACUGGGAGACUUGAGUGCAGAAGAGGAAAGUGGAAUUCCAUGUGUAGCGGUGAAAUGCGUAGAGAUAUGGAGGAACACCAGUGGCGAAGGCGACUUUCUGGUCUGUAACUGACACUGAGGCGCGAAAGCGUGGGUAGCAAACAGGAUUAGAUACCCUGGUAGUCCACGCCGUAAACGAUGAGUGCUAAGUGUUAGAGGGUUUCCGCCCUUUAGUGCUGAAGUUAACGCAUUAAGCACUCCGCCUGGGGAGUACGGCCGCAAGGCUGAAACUCAAAGGAAUU